UUGUUUUUAGAGGAAAAACAGUUUUUGCAUAAUUAAAUUUUUAAUAUUUAUAAUAAGUUUUAUUUGGGAGAAAGGUCUAUUUUUAUUACUAAGUUUAAUUUUUUUUAAUUUUUAUUUACUAGAUUUAGGUUAAUUUUAAGAUUGUAAUAGAUUUUCUAAAGUUUAAUUCUGACUUUAGAAUUCAUUGUAAGUUUUAUUUAAAAUAUAAAUUUUUAAAUUUAUAAAAUUGAAGUGUGUUAAAAACAUAUUUUAAAAAUAAUUAUAGUAUUUGAAAUUAUUUAUAAAUAAAAAUAAAUUUUGUUAUAGAAAUACUUAUUAAAAAUAGAAAAAUUUUGUGCCAGCAUUCGCGGUUAUACAAAAUUGAUUUAAGUGAAUUUUUUAAAUUUUAUAAAUAUUAAUAUUUUAAAUAAUAAUAAUUUUAAAUUUAUUUAUAUAAAUUAAAUUAAGGUGGAAUUUUAUUAAUUUGUAGAUUAAAUUUUAAAUUUUAAUUAGUAGUUUAUGAAAAUUUUUAAUUAAACUAGGAUUAGAUACCCUAUUAUUUUAAUUGUAAAUUAUAAUUGUUUAACAAAAUUAAUUAAAAUUAAGUUUGUUAAUUAAGUUAAUAAAUAUUAGUUUGAUAUUUAGUUUUUGAAAAAAUUAGGUAGUAAUAGUUAAGGUCUUGAAACUUUAAGAAUUUGACGGUAAUUCAUUCAAUUUAGAGGAACUUGUUUUUUAAUUGAUGAUCCACGAUAAAAAAUACCUAGUCUAUUAUUAAUAAUAUUUGUAUAUCGUCGUUUUUAAAGGAUUUUUAAAGAAGAUUAAUUUUUAUAAUAUAAAAAUUAUAUAAUAAUUCAGAUCAAGGUGCAGUUUAUGAUUAGGUUAGAAUGAGUUACAAUAAAAUAAAUUUAUUACGAAUUUAAAAUUUUAUUUUUUAAUGAAGGAGGAUUUAAAAGUAAAUUUAUAAAAAUUAUUUAAGUUGAAAUUUGUUUUGAAUUAUGUACAUAUCGCCCGUCACUCUCUUUAUAAAAAGAGAUAAGUCGUAACAAAGUAAUGGUACUGGAAAGUGUCGUUAGAAUUAAUUUUAU
rnacentral:ncRNA from 1 species